UACGUAGGUGGCAAGCGUUGUCCGGAAUUACUGGGUGUAAAGCGCGUGUAGGCGGGAGGCCAAGUCUGCUGUGAAAUCGCCCGGCUCAACUGGGCGAGGUCGGUGGAAACUGGUCUCCUGGAGGACGGUAGAGGCGAGUGGAAUUCCCGGUGUAGUGGUGAAAUGCGUAGAGAUCGGGAGGAACACCAGUGGCGAAGGCGGCUCGCUGGGCCGGUCCUGACGCUGAGACGCGAAGGCGUGGGGAGCGAACGGG
rnacentral:rRNA from 1 species